rnacentral:rRNA from 1 species
GACGGGGGGGGCAAGUGUUCUUCGGAAUGACUGGGCGUAAAGGGCACGUAGGCGGUGAAUCGGGUUGAAAGUGAAAGUCGCCAAAAAGUGGCGGAAUGCUCUCGAAACCAAUUCACUUGAGUGAGACAGAGGAGAGUGGAAUUUCGUGUGUAGGGGUGAAAGUCCGUAGAUCUACGAAGGAACGCCAAAAGCGAAGGCAGCUCUCUGGGUCCCUACCGACGCUGGGGUGCGAAAGCAUGGGGGAGCGAACAGG